rnacentral:rRNA from 1 species
GACGAACGCUGGCGGCGUGCUUAACACAUGCAAGUCGAACGGAAAGGCCAUGCUCUUGCGGGGUGCUCGAGUGGCGAACGGGUGAGUAACACGUGAGUAACCUGCCCUUGACUUUGGGAUAACUUCAGGAAACUGGGGCUAAUACCGGAUAGGAGCUCCUGCUGCAUGGUUGGGGUUGGAAAGUUUCGGCGGUUUGGGAUGGACUCGCGGCUUAUCAGCUUGUUGGUGGGGUAGUGGCUUACCAAGGCUUUGACGGGUAGCCGGCCUGGGGAGGUGACCGGCCACAUGGGGACUGAGAGACGGCCCAGACUCCUACGGGAGGCAGCAGUGGGGAAUAUUGCACAAUGAGCGGGAGCGUGAGGCAGCAACGCCGCGUUCGGGAUGACGGCCUUCGGGUGGAAAACCGCUUUCGACGUUGACGAAGCGUGAGUGACGGUAAUGGGUAAAGAAGCACCGGCUAACUACGUG